CUCCCCAGAGCCUUGCAGAUGGGACCCUAUCAAUGUUGCCUCUGCUCUCAGCAGCAUUUCUCAGUAGUGCAAUAUUGCUUAUAGGGUGUCGUCUGUGGGGGACUACCUCGUG
rnacentral:pre_miRNA from 12 species